GAUGAAGAACGUAGCGAAAUGCGAUAAGUAAUGUGAAUUGCAGAAUUCAGUGAAUCAUCGAGUCUUUGAACGCACAUUGCGCCCCCUGGUAUUCCGGGGGGCAUGCCUGUCCGAGCGUCAUUGCUGCCCUCAAGCACGGCUUGUGUGUUGGGCCUCCGUCCUCCUCCCGGGGGACGGGCCCGAAAGGCAGCGGCGGCACCGCGUCCGGUCCUCGAGCGUAUGGGGCUUCGUCACCUGCUCUUGUAGGCCCGGCCGGCGCUUGCCGACACAUCAAUCUUUUUUCCAGGUUGACCUCGGAUCAGGUAGGGAUACCCGCUGAACUUAAGCAUAUCAAUAAGCGGAGGA
rnacentral:misc_RNA from 1 species